GAUGAACGCUGGCGGCGUGCCUAAUACAUGCAAGUCGAGCGAACAGACGAGGAGCUUGCUCCUCUGACGUUAGCGGCGGACGGGUGAGUAACACGUGGAUAACCUACCUAUAAGACUGGGAUAACUUCGGGAAACCGGAGCUAAUACCGGAUAAUAUAUUGAACCGCAUGGUUCAAUAGUGAAAGACGGUUUUGCUGUCACUUAUAGAUGGAUCCGCGCCGCAUUAGCUAGUUGGUAAGGUAACGGCUUACCAAGGCAACGAUGCGUAGCCGACCUGAGAGAGUGAUCGGCCACACUGGAACUGAAACACGGUCCAGACUCCUACGGGAGGCAGCAGUAGGGAAUCUUCCGCAAUGGGCGAAAGCCUGACGGAGCAACGCCGCGUGAGUGAUGAAGGUCUUCGGAUCGUAAAACUCUGUUAUUAGGGAAGAACAAAUGUGUAAGUAACUAUGCACGUCUUGACGGUACCUAAUCAGAAAGCCACGGCUAACUACGUG
rnacentral:rRNA from 1 species